GAUGCAGCCAUGCCGCGUGUGUGAAGAAGGCCUUCGGGUUGUAAAGCACUUUCAGUUGUGAGGAAAAGUUAGUAGUUAAUACCUGCUAGCCGUGACGUUAACAACAGAAGAAGCACCGGCUAACUCCGUGCCAGCAGCCGCGGUAAUACGGAGGGUGCGAGCGUUAAUCGGAAUUACUGGGCGUAAAGCGCACGCAGGCGGUUUGUUAAGCUAGAUGUGAAAGCCCCGGGCUCAACCUGGGAUGGUCAUUUAGAACUGGCAGACUAGAGUCUUGGAGAGGGGAGUGGAAUUCCAGGUGUAGCGGUGAAAUGCGUAGAUAUCUGGAGGAACAUCAGUGGCGAAGGCGACUCCCUGGCCAAAGACUGACGCUCAUGUGCGAAAGUGUGGGUAGCGAACAGGAUUAGAUACCCUGGUAGUCCACACCGUAAACGCUGUCUACUAGCUGUGUGUGCCUUUAAGGCGUGCGUAGCGAAGCUAACGCGAUAAGUAGACCGCCUGGGGAGUACGGCCGCAAGGUUAAAACUCAAAUGAAUUGACGGGGGCCCGCACAAGCGGUGGAGCAUGUGGUUUAAUUCGAUGCAACGCGAAGAACCUUACCUACACUUGACAUGCUGAGAAGUUACUAGAGAUAGUUUCGUGCCUUCGGGAACUCAGACACAGGUGCUGCAUGGCUGUCGUCAGCUCGUGUCGUGAGAUGUUGGGUUAAGUCCCGCAACGAGCGCAACCCUUGUCCUUAGUUGCCAGCAUUCAGUUGGGCACUCUAAGGAGACUGCCGGUGACAAACCGGAGGAAGGUGGGGACGACGUCAGUCAUCAUGGCC
rnacentral:rRNA from 1 species